UAAUGACUCUCGGCAACGGAUAUCUCGGCUCUUGCAUCGAUGAAGAACGUAGCGAAAUGCGAUACUUGGUGUGAAUUGCAGAAUCCCGUGAAUCAUCAAGUCUUUGAACGCAAGUUGCGCCCGAAGCCAUUAGGCCGAGGGCACGCCUGCCUGGGCGUCUCACA
rnacentral:rRNA from 1 species